rnacentral:lncRNA from 1 species
AGAGAAGAGAAAUGGAGGAGACAAAAAGAGAACUUAUAAAGGAUAAUACAAAGAAGAUGGGAAGGGAGGCUCCUGUUUCAGAAGGUGGAGGUGGUGAAGAUAUUUAUGAUGAUGAAGAAGAAAGUGGAGUUCCAUAUGAAGAAGAAAAUGAAGUUCCAGAUAGAAGUCAAGAAGGUGAUAGGUCAAAUAAAUCUGAUUCAGAAGAUGAGAAGAAAGAAGCUGAUGAAGGAAUGGGAGAUCGUCCACUGAAAUCAGUGCGCAAAAGAAGAGUACGAAAGGACUGAGUUAUUUCCAGCUGGUGUUUGCAGGUCUAGAGAGAGUGACGGUAACUUUUGGUGUGCCACUUCAGUGGGCCUGGCAGAUUGCUUAGCUUUGAUGGGAAAAGGAGGGGCUCAUUGCUGUUUAACCUCCUAUUUUAAUUCUCUGGCCUCUUAAACCAUCCCAAACUUCCUCAAUUCCCUUUUUUUAAGGAUAAAUGUUUUCUGUGAAGAGUUAGCUGGUAUUUCAAAUUCAAAAUAAAAGGGAAAUUACAAGCUGACCUACUGAUUUU